AUUGAACGCUGGCGGCAUGCCUUACACAUGCAAGUCGAACGGUAACGGGCCUUCGGGUGCCGACGAGUGGCGAACGGGUGAGUAAUGCAUCGGAACGUACCUUUCAGUGGGGGAUAACGUAGCGAAAGUUACGCUAAUACCGCAUAUUCUGUGAGCAGGAAAGCAGGGGAUCGCAAGACCUUGCGCUGAUUGAGCGGCCGAUGUCAGAUUAGCUAGUUGGUGAGGUAAAGGCUCACCAAGGCGACGAUCUGUAGCGGGUCUGAGAGGAUGAUCCGCCACACUGGAACUGAGACACGGUCCAGACUCCUACGGGAGGCAGCAGUGGGGAAUUUUGGACAAUGGGGGCAACCCUGAUCCAGCCAUGCCGCGUGAGUGAAGAAGG
rnacentral:rRNA from 1 species